AUUGAACGCUGGCGGCAGGCUUAACACAUGCAAGUCGAGCGAGCGGCGGACGGGUGAGUAAUGUCUGGGAAACUGCCUGAUGGAGGGGGAUAACUACUGGAAACGGUAGCUAAUACCGCAUACCAUCAGAUGUGCCCAGAUGGGAUUAGCUAGUAGGUGGGGUAAUGGCUCACCUAGGCGACGAUCCCUAGCUGGUCUGAGAGGAUGAACAGCAAAACUGAAACUGAGACACGGGCCAAGCUCGAACGGGAGGAAACAGUGGGGAAUAUUGCAAAAUGGGCGAAAGCCUGAUGGAGCCAUGCCGCAUGUGUGAAGAAGGCCUUCGGGUUGUAAAGCACUUUCAGCGAGGAGGCGUUACUCGCAGAAGAAGCACCGGCUAACUCCGUGCCAGCAGCCGCGGUAAUUC
rnacentral:rRNA from 1 species